ACAAGAGGGGAAGCUGUUAAAGAAUUAAGUUUUUGGGAAGGAGCAGGGAGUGAACCCAGGGCCUUGUGCUUUCGAGCCAUCAAAGCCACCCCCUUUGUUUUGCCCUGGGACCAUAGGGCAGUGUUGGCCACAUGAAUAACCUGUGAUCAGACCUCCAUUUCAGUAAUCACUAAAAAGUACAGCAAGCAUUCUCGGCCAUGGCCACUGGGCAGCCGCAGGCCUGAGCUCGUCGGGAGUCGCUGAGCCCAUUUUCCCUUGCUCUCACCUAAGAAGAUGAAAGGGCACAGUGUGCUUGAGAAUGGGGUCACUGCCAUGGGAUUGUGUCACUGAAGACUGGGAAGUAGGGGAUGUUGGCACAACCGAAUGCUUGCCAACCUGGUGAAGUGUGCUUCUUGUUCUCCACGUGAGUGGACACCUGCGAUACUGAACUCCUCCGGACCUGAUAAAUGUUGCCGUCGACAGGGUUCCGCGGUGGGAACUGCAGCAAAACACCAAUCCAAGAUUGGGGUUGGAAAAUGUUGUUAGUUGCUUAUUGAACCUCGGGGACGCCGUUUGGCCAUGUUUCCCACGCUACUUAUCACUCCCCCUGGGCUUCGAAGGGGCCAUGGUUCUGC
rnacentral:lncRNA from 1 species